rnacentral:rRNA from 1 species
AGCGAACGCUGGCGGCGUGCCUAACACAUGCAAGUCGAACGUGAAAGGGAGCAAUCCCAAGUAAAGUGGCGUACGGGUGAGUAACACGUAGGUAAUCUACCCCAGAAUCUGGAAUACCGGCCGAAAGGCUGGCUAAUACUGGAUAGAGCGACGGAAUCCGUAAUUGGGUUUUUCGGGAAAGGGAGCCUGUAAAAAGGCCUUCGUUCUGGGAUGAGCCUGCGUCCCAUCAGCUAGUUGGUGAGGUAAAAGCUUACCAAGGCAAUGACGGGUAGCUGGUCUGAGAGGACGAUCAGCCACACUGGAACUGAAACACGGUCCAGACUCCUACGGGAGGCAGCAGUGGGGAAUCUUGCGCAAUGGACGAAAGUCUGACGCAGCAACGCCGCGUGAGUGAAGAAGGCCUUCGGGUUGUAAAGCUCUGUCGAGUGGGACGAAAAUGCUUGGAGUUCACAGCUCCAGGAACUGACGGUACCACUAAAGGAAGCACCGGCUAACUCCGUG